GCGCGCGAGGCAGCCUGGGUGUUGUAGUCCUCGCGGCACGCCCCCCCUUGGCUACGCGCGCCUUCCGAACUACAAGUCCCGACGUGCGCGGCGGCUGGCAGAGCUUGGUUUCUCGGGCCCGCCCGCAGGCUGUGGGGUUUUAAGGCAAAGAGGGUUUUUAGGGAUAUAUAGCAAAAAUAACGGGUAACUGUGAGGUGCAGCUCCUCGCCCCCCGGCCUUAGCGCUGUUCAGUAUGGGAGGGGGGUCUAGGGUAGGUUGGCGUAUUAGCCAGGAGCGUAGCGCAGGUCAGGUGCUGGGCCUGGCCCCAUUGACGUGCUGGGGAGCUCGGGGUGCGUGCAGGUGUGUGGGUGACAGGGGGAGAGGGCGGUGAACCUGGCGUCCUGAGGCAAUUUGGGUUAGCAACGACACCUCAGUAACAAACGCACAACAACGUUUGGUUUUCCGCUUUAUUAUCAGAGGGGAGAACGAUAGAGAAACCCAAUAGGACAGUUUGCACGACGAAAGAAUACAAAGAUGUUUGGGACAGCGUUGCUGACAGACCUGGACCAAGCCGUACACGUCAAGAUGAAGGAAGAAUGCCAUGCCAUAAUCAAGAUGUGAAAUGCCCAGAGCCAGGCCAAGAGCCUGGAGACAACUGGUGGUGGAGAGCCAUAUGGAGGCAAGUGACAGGGAGUGAAUGUUUUAGUGCCCAUGUGUCAAUAGUAUUGGAUUCAGCUAGAAAUCCUCAGACCUGGCUAGCCCCACCAGGAAAGCACGUAUGCCACACUGGCUGGCUAAUGGGGCAAAGAGGAGGGAAUGAAGGUUCAGGGAAAAUCAGAGUCCUGUGAGCUCCCUUGUUUCCUUCUACCCCUCAGAGAAUGUGUUUGUUUAUUUUGGAUUGUGGUUCAGAUUUUUUUGUGAACUAUGAGAUUUACACUAUCUUUAGUUGUUUCUGCUUGCUGCAGAGGUUCUUCUCUCAGGAUGGAAAAGGUGAGCAUAAAUUCAAAAAGAAAGUUUAAUUCCUUUUCUAACAUGAACUUUGAGCCAAAUUUCAAAUCUGGAGGGAAAGAGGUCAGCUGUGUUUGUCAGUCCAAAGAUCAUCUGCAGGAAAUCAAGCAUUCAGAGAAACAACCAGGAGGUUAGGUACUCAUGGAUGUGUUACUACACAUUAUUUAUUCAGCUAUGACAAAAGAUUUACUGGCAUAACUUCAAGUGGCAAUACACCACAGUCUCCUGGCAUGCAUCCAUAGAAGCAAGUAUUAACGUAUGAUUAAUUCUUAAAUUUGGUACAGUGAUAUUUCUUAAGUAGUUUGUUGUUUGUUUGUUUUUAAAAGAAAAAAAAUGCAUUUAACUGGAAAGGGAACCAAAUUGCUCUGUUAUCCAGCUGGAAUUCUCUAGCCUUGUGACAAGUGCCCAAGUUAACACAUUUUAGUCAACAUAGGCAUAUUUUGUCAGAAUUUGUGAGGAAUGCUGACUCAGGAUAAGACAAAAACAAACAAACAAAAAAAAAACAUUGAACUAAUUGUGCAAUGCUUUAUGUGGAAAAAUGACUUCCUGAUCCCUGCACUAGCAGCCAGUGCUUUGAAGCAUGGUCUUUGGAUAUCUGCAUUCAGCCCUUACCUUCCAGAUAAGAAUAUUUAGUGUAUAAAUAUAAUUUGUAAUAUACACAUAUAUUAACUAUUAUAUUCAAUUCCUCUUCUCUCUUUUUACAUGAUAUUGUCCCUUUCAACAGGGGUGAUCUGCAUAUAUACUUUUAGAUUCCUUAUUCUUUAAAAUGGCAUCCACCUGCUCACAGCUCACAAGUACUUACUUUGUGAACCCCUUUUUCCGAGAGCAGCUGUUUGAGCUGACUGAAAUCCAAACUGUAAACCGACAGACAGGUAAAAAUGGCUCUAAGUCCAUAAAUCUGAGAAAAUUUUUGCAGCUUAAUUAAUCUGAUAAGCAACAGAGACUAUUAAUUGCAUAUUUGUUUUCGUCAGAAUAGACGAGGCUAAAAUCAAGUUUAUCCCAGAGAGUUUUGUCAUAACUCCAGAAGAGUGGCUUUUGAUGGAAACUGUUGAUGAAAACAAGCCACAAAAUCCAUUUUCUUAGAGUAGGGUGAAUGACCAGGCCUAGGUCAAAAGUACCUACAUGUAUGGGAGCCCAAGACAUUCCUGUGGUGGGAACAUCUUGGAGCUUUGCAGGCGGGUAAACCCUGAUCUGCUUCUGCAGGAUUUCAGAGGUCUGGAAGAGAUACAAAGAUCCUUGGACAUAUACAUCCCCAUGGGUUGAGCACACCUGUCUUUACAAAGGAAUGAAGUUCAUACCUCCAGAGGCCAGAGGAGGCCUUUUAUUAUUCCUGUUUUUCUUUUUCCUAUUGAGGACCACCUAUACUUUUGGUUAGCUGGCAGACUAAUAAUGGGGCUGGGUUAAACAGGCAUCAGUCUAAUUUCUACACCAUUAAAACUUUACUUUUCUGGAGGUGAGUAAAGGGACAGAGAUGGUGAAUGAAGUGUACAAAUGUGCUACAGAAUGGAUCUCUGUCUGUUAUAAGACAUCAACCGUAAUAAUCUACAGAAGUACUGUUCAAAUUCCUGUUCUUUUAGGUUACCACCAAAGUGUGAUUUUGCCAAAUACAGAUUCAGUUCCUGGGGUGUGCAAUACAGUGAGUGUAUCGUGGCAUUUCAGAGUUUGUGAUGUACAGAAGCAUUGCAGAGAGUUUAUUCAGUUAGGUAGAAGAUGUCUGAACAGACACAAAUGGGAAGUUUUUAUAUGCUGUCUUGGAUAGCAAGGUUAAACAGAGAAUCUGUUAAGAAAAAAAAACAGUGACAAUUUAAAUAAAUCAGAUGUUUUUGCUGAAGAUUAUGCUGUCAUUUUCUCCAAUUAUUCUUGACAUUUCACCCAAUCGUAUUGUGAUCCGAGUUAAUAAUGGAAGAAAAAGAACAGCUCUUGUUGCCUUGUUUAUUCUUUGUUCUGGAGGAGAUAAGCUGUUUAUAAAGAUAUUUGUUAUUUAAAUCACUUUUACUGAAGUUGUUUGUUUCCUUGUCUGAGAUUCUAAAAAUAUUGCAACAAUUGUGAUGCAUCUUUGAAAUGUCUAUUCACUUCACUAUGAUUUAUACUGAAAUUCAUUCCUAAAUGGGCACAGGUGUUGAUAGCUGUAACGUGCUAGAAUGAGUCAAAACCAAUAAAUGCUCAAUAAAGGAAAGAUGAAAGAAAAUGCACUGAAAACAGCUCUUUUAAGAUGUGAUAAAUUGGCAUUUUAGUUCAACACUUAAUUAGGUAUAUAACAUUGAAGAUGUCUCUGGUGCAACUAUGUAUUUUAAAACAGCUGAACAUGUUAGAAUAAAACUUCAACCGCUGUUAAUAUUUUCAAGAUCAUAAACAUUAUUUUAAAAAUUAGCAAUACA